CACAGUGGGCUGGCUGGGCGCUCAGGUCACCUUCGAGUGGAACCGCCAAUGCCCGGCUCCUGUCCCUCUGCCCCGGCAUGACCGUGUAGGUGCUGUGUUGCCAGACCUUUUGAUUGCUCAGUCGCUCAGGAAGACAGAAGUGCAGGCCUGUGUUUCUGUUUUUGUGAAGUAUUCUGAUUUGUGAAUGUUGACAACUAAUUCAGUUUUUAGAAAAACGCCAUAAGGAUCAAUUAAAGCCCACUCAUGGGGCUAUUCUACCUGUAAGCAUUCUGAAUGCAAACUUUUAGUUAAGUCGAAGACUUCUUCAGACUCAAUUUUGAGUUUUAUUGGUUUACCAAAUGUGUGAUCUAAUACCAUAAUGCUUACUUUUGCCCAGGUCCUGUGAAGCUGAUGGAAGCAGGCAUCCGUACCAGAGGGAAAAAUAGUGGAAAAGUGACUUUCCUGGUGUGGCUUUUCCUCGCAUCAGCGUGGUUUGACCUGAGAACUCGAUUGGUGCUUUGAUUCUGAUUCAGCCAGAGUGAGCCCUAUCCAUGACUCAAGCCACUUCACUGAGUUUGACGAUGGGGUUUGGGGCCAAAAUGCCAGCCACAGCACCACUUCACCUCCAGUGAUAACUUCCCUCACACUGGAAUACACAAAGGCUGCAGAGGUUCCAAAGAGAUCACGUGCUACGCGAGGAUCUGACAAGAUGGCGUGGUUCUGGAAUGAGCAGCAUGAGAGGAUGGGUACACCUGCCAGGGGCACCCAGAGGAGUUGCUCGGACUCCAUGGUGUCACCCAAGACAAAAAAGGGAGACUACCUGGUUGGCAUGCUAUGAAGCAUCAGAAUAUUUGGAAAUGUCCUCGGGACCAGAUGCUGCUGGAGGCAAACCCGAUGAUCCAGUGUGGGUACCACAAGCCUCCUGCAUUUCUCCUACCAGGAAAGUCGUGAGUAAAGAGAAGUUUGGUAAAUCAACUCAGUGGUCCUAGCAACCUCCAUGACCAUUUCCAAUUGCUUCAUCUUUAGCUGACAGCACUUCUUACCUAACUUAGCCCAUAGCAUUUCUGUAAAGGAAGGUGAUGAGCUGUAAAUAAACUCUUAAAUGCACCCUGGGAGUACAUGGCUUACAGAAAUCCUUCUUUUAAAUAACAAUCUAUCUUUUUUUUUUUUUUUCCUGUUUCUUCCUAUUGCCCCAGCAGAAACAUGGGUUCACCUAGAAGCAGACCUUGAGAUGUGGGUUUAAGUACAAAUGGUUUAUUAGGGAGAUCAUGCCAGAAAACAACAGCACGAGAGUGGGAAGUGAUACUGGGAAGGGAAGGAAGUCAGUACAAGAUACGUCCUCGAGCAGGUUACUGCUGCGGGCAAGUGGGGCUCAAUCCUGCUGGGGAAUCUCUGGGAGACACCUCAGAUUUGUACCACCCGAGGGUGAGGAAGCUGGGGUAUUUAUAUACUGGCUGUAUCAGUCACUGGUGAAAGGCUGCUUGUGGGGAGGGGGUUGGUAAUAAUUUCCUAGCACUCUACCUUCUAAAUGGGUAGGGACUACUGAAAUCCAAGAAAGUUCUUGGAUAGUAAAUGCUGGCAGUUGGAAGGCAAGCCAAAUGAAAUGGCACGGGCAGGACAUCGACCAUCUGCUACACUUCGCUUCUCCGAGUAUGUUAUGUGUGAGGAGGUAGACUCCCCCUUGCACCCAAG
rnacentral:lncRNA from 1 species